UGCCAGCCGCCGCGGUAAGACAGAGGUGGCUAGCGUUGUUCGGAAUCACUGGGUUUAAAGAGCACGUAGGCGGCCGGGCAUGUCCGGUGUGAAAUCCCCCGGCUCAACCGGGGAACCGCGCCGGAAACUACCCGGCUCGAGGGCAGGAGAGGAGCGUGGAACUCCAGGUGUAGCGGUGAAAUGCGUAGAUAUCUGGAGGAACGCCGGAGGCGAAAGCGACGCUCUGGACUGUCCCUGACGCUGUGGUGCGAAAGCCAGGGGAGCGAACGGGAUUAGAUA
rnacentral:rRNA from 1 species